GGCAGGUAGCCAGUGGAUGGCAAGCCGCCUGUAAAGCGGCUCCUUCGGGGUUGGGGGUUCGAUUCCCUCACCUGCCA
rnacentral:tRNA from 1 species